rnacentral:lncRNA from 1 species
AAAAAAGCGAUGACGUCACCUCCUUCAUAGAGUAGUGCGGGAAGCUGAUGGCGCUGAACACCUGGCCGAACAUGUGGAAGGCAUUGAAAAUGUUAGGGAUACACACCGCCACCAACAAGCGCUUCUGAAACGCCCCAAAUUCGCCGACGGCCGAGAGAAUCUCCGUGAAGUCGAUCAUGAUCUUCUGGUGACCAUCAGAAGCGACGGCGCGCUUUUAAACGGAGGAAAAUUAAUUUUUAAUCUUGUCACAGGUCCAAUAGUGUCUGGCAUUAUCUGCGCAGGCGAGCAGGUAAGAUAAAACGUUAAAAGAAACUGCAGGAAGGACAAUAUAAAAGUAUUUUUCUAUUUGAAUAUUACACAAUGUUUCAUCCUAUCCAAUGUAUGUAUUUGGAGUGAGGCUGUUUCUAACGAUUGAAUGUAACGAGGAAUGUCUGCAGUGUUUAUUUACAUUGUGUGUGUGUGUGUGUGUGUGUGUGAAUGAUGAACCCAAUACAGGCCUUUCUUUUUUUGCCAAUGAAGGCGGUCUUAAUAGUGUGGUAAUGAAGAUGUUUGCGAGGCC